CUCGGAGUUUGAUCCUGGCUCAGAUUGAACGCUGGCGGAAUGCUUUACACAUGCAAGUCGAACGGUAGAGGGGGCAACCCCUUGAGAGUGGCGAACGGGUGAGUAAUAUAUCGGAACGUGCCCAGUCGUGGGGGAUAACGUAGCGAAAGUUACGCUAAUACCGCAUACGAUCUAAGGAUGAAAGCGGGGACCGUAUGGCCCCGCGCGAUUGGAGCGGCCGAUAUCAGAUUAGGUAGUUGGUGGGUAAAGGCUCACCAAGCCAACGAUCUGUAGCUGGUCUGAGAGGACGACCAGCCACACUGGAACUGAGACACGGUCCAGACUCCGUAC
rnacentral:rRNA from 1 species